rnacentral:rRNA from 1 species
AUACGGAGGGUGCGAGCGUUAAUCGGAUUUACUGGGCGUAAAGGGCGCGUAGGCUGUUAAUCAAGUCAGAUGUGAAAGCCCGUGGCUUAACCACGUGAAGUGCAUCUGAAACUGGUUGACUUGAGUACUGGAGGGGAAGGUGGAAUUCCCGGUGUAGAGGUGAAAUUCGUAGAGAUCGGGAGGAAUACCGGUGGCGAAGGCGACCUUCUGGACAGAUACUGACGCUGAGGCGCGAAAGCGUGGGGAGC